UGGGGAAUCAUGGUCAAUGGGCGAAAGCCUGAACCUGCGACGCCGCGUGAGUGAUGAAGGUCGUAAGAUCGUAAAGCUCUUUUCAGGGAUCUUAAAGCCUGUCUGUCAACAACAGGCAGGUCUGACUCUCCCUGGAAGAAGCCCCAGCCAACUACGUGCCAGCAGCUGCGGUAAUACGUAGGGGGCGAGCGUUAUUCGGAAUUACUGGGUGUAAAGGGUAUGUAGGCGGCCCUUCAAGUCGCGUGUCAAAGUCCAGUGCUCAACGCUGGGUGUGCACGCGAUACUGACGGGCUGGAGGGCUGGAGAGGUGAGCGGUAUUCCCGGUGUAGUGGUAAAAUACGUAGAGAUCGGGAGGAACACCAGCGGCGCAGGCGGCUCACUAGACAGUUUCUGACGCUAAGAUACGAAAGCGUGGGGAGCAAACA
rnacentral:rRNA from 1 species